GGUGAACCUGCGGUUGGAUCACCUCCUU
rnacentral:rRNA from 1 species